rnacentral:rRNA from 1 species
GACGAACGCUGGCGGCGUGCCUAACACAUGCAAGUCGAACGGGGUCCAUGGGAGCUUGCUCCCGGAAGACCUAGUGGCGAACGGGUGAGUAACACGUGAGAAACCUGCCCUGGAGUGGGGAAUAACUCGGGGAAACUCGAGCUAAUACCGCAUACCCUCGGAUGGUCGCAUGGCCGACCGAGGAAAGAUUUAUCGCUUCAGGAGGGUCUCGCGGCCUAUCAGCUAGUUGGUGGGGUAACGCCUACCAAGGCAACGACGGGUAGGCUGGUUUGAGAGAACGAUCAGCCACACUGGGACUGAGACACGGCCCAGACUCCUACGGGAGGCAGCAGUGGGGAAUCUUGCGCAAUGGGCGAAAGCCUGACGCAGCAACGCCGCGUGCGGGAUGACGGCCUUCGUGGUUGUAAACCGCUUUCAGCAGGGACGAAACUGACGGUACCUGCAGAAGAAGCCCCGGCUAACUACGUGCCAGCAGCCGCGGUAAU